rnacentral:rRNA from 2 species
GGUGGAGCAUGUGGUUUAAUUCGAAGCAACGCGAAGAACCUUACCAGGUCUUGACAUCUUUUGAUCACCUGAGAGAUCAGGUUUCCCCUUCGGGGGCAAAAUGACAGGUGGUGCAUGGUUGUCGUCAGCUCGUGUCGUGAGAUGUUGGGUUAAGUCCCGCAACGAGCGCAACCCUUAUGACUAGUUGCCAGCAUUGAGUUGGGCACUCUAGUAAGACUGCCGGUGACAAACCGGAGGAAGGUGGGGAUGACGUCAAAUCAUCAUGCCCCUUAUGACCUGGGCUACACACGUGCUACAAUGGAUGGUACAACGAGUUGCGAGACCGCGAGGUCAAGCUAAUCUCUUAAAGCCAUUCUCAGUUCGGACUGUAGGCUGCAACUCGCCUACACGAAGUCGGAAUCGCUAGUAAUCGCGGAUCAGCACGCCGCGGUGAAUACGUUCCCGGGCCUUGUACACACCGCCCGU